rnacentral:lncRNA from 1 species
CAUUUUGUUCUGCUUAAGAAUGCAAGGUAUGUUAUAGUUGUGUUUGUCAAAUUCAAGAAAAAGUCAACAAGGUUUCUUUUAUGUCAUUACUGGAGUGGGAACCAAGAUCUGAGGCAGGUUUUAAAUUAUUUGAUGGACACAUAGUCUAAUUUCUUCUUGCACGAAUGAAUUAUCUGCAGUAAUUUUGUAUGUCUAUGUGAACAUGUUAAAUUCUUUGGUUGGCUAGAAAGCAAGCCGAAAGAAAGCCAUUACAUAUAACCAGGUUGCAUUUUUCUUUUUGUCAAUAAUGGUUUGCUAAAGAAUACAAACUGUGCUUCUAGUUUUAAAAAGCUACUUCACUAUUCUCUCAAUUUAUUCAAGCCUUUCUUUUUAUUUUUACCUCUUUUUGUCCUAUCUUUGAGUCAUUUAAAUACUAAUUAGCACAAAGUAAACACAAAAAGUAAGGGAGUGACUGGAUUCAAAUCAGGUUUCCUACCUGUCAGCCAGCAUAUUGAGUAUACUUAUAAUUAUCAGUUUAAAUCAAGUUUUGGGG